GACGAACGCUGGCGGCGUGCUUAACACAUGCAAGUCGAACGGAACGGCCCUGCUUUUGUGGGGUGCUCGAGUAGCGAACGGGUGAGUAACACGUGAGUAACCUGCCCUUGACUUUGGGGUAACUUCAGGAAACUGAGGCUAAUACCGGAUAGGAGCUCCUGCUGCAUGGUGGGGGGUGGAGAGUUUCGGCGGUUGGGGAUUGACUCGCGGCUUAUCAGCUUGUUGGUGGGGUAGUGGCUUACCAAGGCUUUGAUGGGUAGCCGGCCUGAGAGGGUGACCGGCCACAUUGGGACUGAGAUACGGCCCAGACUCCUACGGGAGGCAGCAGUGGGGAAUAUUGCACAAUGGGCGGAAGCCUGAUGCAGCAACGCUGCGUGCGGGAUGACGGCCUUCGGGUUGUAAACCGCUUUUGCCUUUGACGAAGCGUGAGUGACGGUAAUGGGUAAAGAAGCACCGGCUAACUACGUG
rnacentral:rRNA from 1 species